rnacentral:lncRNA from 1 species
CACCUUUGGUUUGGUCCUCGGAGAGGCUCUGAAAGAAUCCUACACAGCACAGCUUCUCCUUUUCAAUCCGUGGGGACGAGCAACUCGCAUGGUAAGGGCCGAUAGGCACGGAGUGUGGAGUGUAGCUGUUGACGUCGCCGGCACGGACUGGAUCACGGACCUUGGAGAUGAGGACACUUCUGCUCCACCUGCGUCUCCGUGCCAUUUCAGCUUCUUCGGUCAUGGCUUGUUUCCCUGCCUCCAAGUCGGUGUCAACAUGUGGGACUCGUGCACCUGCAUGCAGGAAGUAACUAUUAAUCAGCGCAUAGCGUGCGAACGUACCACCAACGACACCAUAUUUGUUUGUUGAUGAGGACAACAGAUCUGUGAUCUGACUAGAGAAAAUAACAAUUAAACGGAAAUAAUGUUGCAGCAUCAAUCAUGAUGCUAACGUGCACUAGCCUAUUAACUGGUCGACCAACCCAAACUAAGAACUUGAUUCUCCGAAUAACGCUGUCCAAGUUGGUAGAGUGAUAGUAGUCGUUGUAACAAGAUCGAUUAACUUCUACUCACCUGAUGACCACAGGGAGAGCAUAUCAGUGGUCAUGUGUUUUUGUGUUAUUUUUCGUGUUACUUUUGUGUUUUUGCUGCAACUAAGAUCUGCAUGGGUGUUAUUUUUCGUGCAUGGUGUUUUUGCAGGUCUUAGUUGCAGGAAGAAGUAGUGCCUCUUUGUGGCUAGGCUAAUCGUUUGUGUCUCUCAAUCUUUUUUCUUUUUCCUGGUCUAAUCAAUCAUGUUGCUAACAGAGUACUGAACAGACUGAGGCCCUUGCAUUGUCCCUGUGAGCGACUCGGGGGGCGGACGCCACGCGGCACCACCGAGCCCCCGCUGUCCAUGCGCCGCCACCUGCGGUGGCCUGUCGCUCCCCCCAGCCAACGAGGGCGGUCUAGCUCUGUUUUCUGACCUCUAAUCUCUCUAGUACCCCCUCUCUUCCAUCCACUACAACAAAAACCCACUAUAGCAACGUCUGCUGGUGGGCCCACAGCAGCGAUGAUGGCGGUGCCACACGGCCUGGCAUGACUGCAACGGCAUGGGCCUAGGGCGCAGCGGCUGCGGCAGCCCAUGGCCCUGCACUGCUGUGGCGGCGUGUGGCCUGCCAGGCUCUGGUGCGAGGCGUGCGACUCUGGCAUUCCCGUCGGUGGAUCCGGUGGCCAGUGGCACAGAUCUGACGAAGGCGUGCUAGGGACGAUGGUCGAUGACUUUCUUGUAACAGGUGCUCACAGACUCAUCGUGCAGCGACUGCGGUAUGGAGCGCACUUCAUCGAUGUCAUCGGGUCUCAGGUGCUUCAGCCUCCCGUGAUUGGCAAUGGCGUGGCAAGGGAUGCGUCUCGUCAACUCUUGGGGCUAUGUUGUGGUGGGCUAGGGUACACUGGCGAAAUCCCCGAUGAUGAUGCCUUUGGGUAUCAUUUUUCUUCUUGGAUGCGCCACCUAUAUAUCCCUAUCCCACCCCAUCACAAGAUCUCCAGGUGAAAAUUUUAUCUCGGUGGGCAGCAGCGGCUAUUGUCAUUUCCACAAUGGAGGUGUCAUUUUGUAGGCUUUUUGAGUGGUUAUGCACUUCAUGGCGGUACUAUGGUUUCCCAAAUUAGAUUCGGCAAGAGCUAUUGCUAUAUAUCUUGCUUAACUCCGCUACCUAUGUUAGUGGAAGUGUGGAUUGUUUUGUUGCUGUCUUGGUUUGGUGGUCAGAGCGUCAAUCAAUAGAUGGAGUUGUUUCAAUUCCUCCUUGUUGGGAUUUGGCUCAUGCUUCGGUUCCGCUUUCAUUUGAUGUGAAGGAGUUGGUUCAUUUUGAAGGCGACUUUACCAAACAUACUAUGAAGGGAGGUUACUAGAGUAGCUUGUUGGCAAUUUUGAGUUUCUUUUUUCUUUAAUUCCAUUACUUUUCUUUAAUACAUCGUAUAUUCUCAUGUCUUGGGUACAUGUUCAUUUAAAACAUGUGCCUCUCUCUGUAACAAUCGAUGUAUUCUCGAAAGAGGAUCUCUAGAAUUUUAUCUUCGGUAAUGCUACAGACCGAGCAUCUGGAGCACUUGUUUGUCUACGCACCCGAAAUUUGUUUGGUUCCAACCUAUUCCAACCUACCCAUAUUAUAUGCAAGUUGACGUCCACGCAGCUCGUCUCCCUCCACGUUCUUAUCCAUUCCCUUACCCCAGCGCUCUCUCUAUAUACUUCGAUUCACCUGCCGCAUCGCAUCUAUUAGCAUCCAUGGUCAUUGAGGCCGCCAAAGGAUCAGACUGCACCCACUAGUAGAGAACUGACCUUCCAUCCAGGAGCUUUUAUCCCGGUUAACUUUGGACCUGCGACUAAAGUGCCUUUAGUCCUGAGUCAAAAAUGAGGCACCGAAAGGACAUCGACGGGAGGGCGACUUUAGUCCUACCGCCGCCCCCCCCCCCCCCCCGCCCCUUUUUAUCGCGGUUGGAAAUUCCAACCGGGACAAAAGCCUCCCUUGUCCCGGUUGGUAUUUCCAACCGGGACAAAAGAUUUAAUCCCGGUUGCAAUUACCAACCGAGACAAAAGGGGGAACUUUUGUCCCAGGCGUCACCAGGUUUCCAUGCGGCCCUUAAGGUAGUGCUCUCCACCUUCCUUAUCCUCCCAGGCAGCGCUCUCCUCUCCACUUAUCUUCUUUGUUCCUCUCCUCAUCCCCUCCUCCCUCUCCUCUUCUCUCCACCAGCGCUCCACUCCUCCCCCUCUCUAUGCCGCCGCACCCCCUCACCUCUUGCCGCCGCCACCUCCCCCUCUGCUGCCCCUCCCCUUCCCCCUCUGCUCGCCCUUCACUAGCAGUGAGGAGCGCCAGCAGAGCCAGGGCAGGGCAGGGGUGCGACUAGGUUGCCGAGCGGCGGCGACCGGGUGGCCGAUGGGCGCGGGCGGACGCAGGCGGAGCGGAGGUAGGCGGCGGGCGGCCAGCGUGGGGGCGGGUGGCGCGGGUGCUUUUUUUAAAAAAACUUUUUAGUCCCACUUGGUGUUACCAACCGACACCAACCGGGACUAAAAGAACUCGGGUCUAAAGGACCUCCUUUAUCUCGAAAAUUUAGUUCCGGAUGGAUUUUCGGAAUCUUUCACCCCAACCAGCCGGAACUAAGGGUUCGUUUUCCACACCUUCCUGAGGAGCUUCAGGCUCUUGUCUUCUGGCUCCUUGUCUCUAGCAACUACAAGCAUCACUCCCUUGUCUGCUGCUGUUGGCUCGACGUCAAGGCCGCCUUGGGCUUUGUGCAGGCACUGAGCCUUGCUGUUGCUGGUGGCUGCCUGCACCUUCCCAGGCCUGCUCGCGCGCUUUUCCUGACGUCCCCCAGCUCACUGGCGCUCAUGUGCUUCCGACCACCACGCCAAGAGCAUGGACGACUUAGACCCUUGCGCUCAAGAAGAUGUUGCAACGGUCCAGUCUAGAUGUUUUCGUAUAGUUGUUUUGUUUUGUUUCAAUUUUCUGUUUUUCUUGUGGGUGAUUUUGUUCACUUCCUAGGCGUUGCAAUGGCAUGAUAUGCAUAUUGCGAACAUGUAUUUGAUUUUGGUUCAGUUGUGCACAUCAUACAAAAAUUAGGACGUAUAUGCAAUAGGUCUUCAUCCGUAUGGAUGUUGCACUGAAGACAUGGUUGGCUUUCUUCAUCUCCUCUUGCAUUUGUAUACGUUGCAACGAGUAAAUCGAUUUGUUGUAGAAAUAUUUUCUUGAUGUUGCAUGUUGCUAGAGGAAAAUGAUUUGCUAGAUCUUGAUGGAGAUGGCAAUGCCAUAUUCAAGGUUGCGGCAGCAUUUUAUGCAUGCUGCAUAUGCCUUUUUUAUUGUUACAAUAUAUUUUUAUUCAUGUUGUGGCAAUAAAUUAAAGUAGUUUUUUAUUUAUAUUCUUGAUGUUACAAAGUUGAUUUUCUGAUGUUGCAUGGACUAUUUUAUAAUGUUUCAUAUACAAUUUUUUGAUGGUGCAUAAACUAUUUUCCCAUGGUUACCUUCUCCAAAUCUCUCUCUCACAGGCGUGCGAGCCGCGUGAUGUGCUAGUGUCCCUCUCUCCGCGUGAUGGUGAGCAGGGGCGCAGUGCUUUAGUUUAUUUUCGUGCCUGGUAUUUUUGCUGGUCUCGGUUGCUGGUAGCAGUAGGGCCUCUUUUGUGGCUGGGCUAGUACGUGGUUUGUAUCUUUUUUCUUUCUUUUUCCUCGUCUAAUCAAACUAGCGGCAAAACUCUUGCCGCCCUUUUGAAAAAUAUUAGAAGUGCUUUACCAAGGCACUAAAGAGGAGUUCGAAUAAUUGUUGGGGUUGAGAGCCUGGAACUUUGGUCAAUCCAAAGGAUGAUGUUUUGGAGUACAUUGCUAGCUACAGUACUGGUUAAGUAACUAGGUGAGCGUUGGCACUCACGUUAGGAAUCAUCCAACAUACGUACACAACACUUACAUUUGGUUUUAGCACCUCAAGUAAGGUGAGCUGAGCCAACGCUUUGUUCAUUGCUAGUCAAAACUCCGAACAACAAACCUAACUAGUGGGAAUAAUACCGUCUAGUUCGUACGUGUCAUUUCCAUGGCAAAAAUGCUAGCAAUGGCGAUAUAUAUAUCAUACAACGAUACGGUGUAUAUAAUGCUAAAAAGGUAUUGUUAAACGUGCAUGCAGGAUAUGAAUUAGACAAGUGACAAACAUCAAAAGAAUUUCUACGGCAUUUGGGGACUUGUCAAUUUCACCUUUAGAAGGCAUCAGUGAAUCGACUUCGCCGGUGACAAUUUUGGUCCUGCAGGAAUCCUCACCCCUCGUCUCAAUAUCUUUGCCCCACGUUUGUUUGGUUGGUUAAUUCAAUGUCUCUCGUAUCUGCAUGCAUGCCACACAAUGAAUCAGUCCAUGGAAAUGAAAAUGAAACAUUGAUCAAUCGUUUUGUCAUUCCUUUUCUCUAAUUAAACAUGGAUAAUGGACUGGCAAGUGCGUAGUCGACAAUUCUUGGUUGAUGCUGUGAGCAACGAAUAUCGAAAAAUAAAAAACGAAGAAAAUAAUAAACCUGCUGAAUCUAUGAAUAGAGAGUGGAACUGUUCUGUCAGCUAGAAAGCCCUCACCAUCUUAAAAUUAAGAUGAUAAGUACUAGAACUCAAAAAGAGAUUCUAGUCUCCCAACACCGGUUAAAAACCAAAAAGUUAACAGACAAUCGAGAGAGCUAAAUAUCUUCAUAUCGAUCCAAAACAGUAUCUGAACACAAGCUGAAACAGGCAAAUUGACAUACCAUUCGCCAUUUCAGUCGGCACUCCAAAACUUUGCUAUCUUCCCGUCCUCGUCUGGUCUUUAGAUGUUUGUGGCAAUCCUCUAUAUGUACGUGCCACAAUUUCAGGUCUAAUAAUUUAUUUUUCGUUUUGUCUCUUGUGCAGUAAGAUUUUUAUUGUAAAAUGUUCACAGAGCUCGAGUGUCAGCAAAAAGUACAAAACAGGAGUCAAUGCUGAUCAGUAACUGGAACGUGUUUGUGUUUGGUUUCAGGACUAAAGUAUAGUCCUUGGCACAUCAUAGUACUAAUUAAGAGUAUUAAAUAUAGGUUAAUUAUAAAAUCAAUUACAAAAUGAAGGCUAAUUCGCGAGAUGAAUCUAUUAAGUGUAAUUAGUUCAUGAUUUGACCAUGUUAUGCUAUAGUAAAUACGUGCUAAUUAUGAAUUAAUUAGAUUUAGUAGUUUCGUCUGUGAAUUAGCCACAGCUUACGCUGAAUCGGAAGUAGGGGUUCCAAUCAACCAAAAUACGGCCGGCCGUAUUGUAGUCUUUACCUUAUUAAUUAGCUAGGUUCACCUUUUUAGGUGUGCGGCUUUUCUUUUUCCUUAGCAUAAACUCAUGGCGUGCGAGAUAGCUAAGGUUAACAAAUCUAUUUUCACUAUUUAAUUAGGCAAGCAAGGUAAUACUUUGGUCGUACUUUGGUACAAUUCCUUAGACUGUAUAUACCCUUAGGAUUUGUUCUUAAUGACAGAAUUACAGUUUUUAUUGGACAGAUCGAGGGGGUAUUGGAUUAAGAAUGUCUGGACUUUGCCCAGCCAAACUUGGGGCAAGCCCAUACAUUUUGCCACUUGUUUGGUUGAAUUGUUUGGUUGAAAACUAAAAAUUUUUGGCAAUCACAUUUUGCCACUCAAUCAAGUGAUACCUUAAAAUUCUUGCCCAGAUUUUGGCAGAAAAAUUUUAUUACGCUCACAUUUUAGCAUGGCAAAUUUUAGAGCUAAAUCAAUCAGGCUCUAAGUCCACUUUCACUCAGUUUGUUUACUCACAUAUGAAUAGUGCCGAUUCUUCCUGAUAGCGCAAUCAGAUAAACUUCCUCUAAUCGGUGGGAUGUGACAUACACCCUCUUCUUUAUUAGCCACGUCAUUGAUCCGCAUCUAAACACAGAAGAGAGAUGCAAAUAGAGAUGCAGAUCCAACCUGAGGAUGUGAACCGAUCACAUGAUGUGAGAGAACCAAUUUGUACGUUAAUAACGCCGUUAGUGCAUUGGAUGCCCUUGGUUAGCAGCUGGGAUUUCGAUCGAGACUGUUGUCGCUGUAUCCCAGGCACAUGGGCCGGUCACAUGAUGAGAGAACCAAACAAACCUUUGCGGGAACCAAAAGAUGCUCUGCCCAUAUUACAGAAAAGAAGCGCAUCACGUGAUCUGCCAUUUACAUAUACAGCGUGUUGGGCGACGUACUCGUGCUAAAUAUUAUUUCGGUCCUAAAAAGAAUGCAACACUCGUAUCCCCGAAAUUUAACCAAUUUCAAAUUUGAUCAAAUUUAUACAAAAUAAUAUUAACAUUUAUGAUAUAAAAUAAAUAUUAAUAGAUUAAUCAUGUAAUAUAUUUUUAUACUAAAUCUAUUUGGAGAUGCGAAUGUUAGUACGUUUCUAUAUAAAUUUGGUCAAAUUUGAAACUGUUUGACUCCUCAGGAAAUUAGAAUUGCAUUCUUUUUUUUAGAACGAAAGGAGUAGUAGGGAUACUCCCUUUCUCCUCCUAUAGAUCUAUUUUUUCCACACAAUGACCAUAGAGAAGGAGCAUACUCCUGAUCCAAUUAACCGUGUCAUUAUGUACUCUUCUUAGUGGAAACAAUUUUCCGGGAUGACUCAUUAAUAUCUAUGCCAUCAUAUCACUACAACAAAUCUCAUGCAUAGAUACUUUUAUAUAGACAUUUUAUGAUUUGUCCUUAUGAAUAUAUCUUAAUGUAUUAUAAAGACACUCUUUGUGGCAUUUUAGUAUAUUGAGACACUAUAUGAGUUAUUUUCAACCAUAGUGACAUAUUCUUAAGUUAUUUUGUAAAAUGGCAAUAUAGAUUAUUAGGGACAUCCUUGACACACACUUUAAUAUUUGACCUUACUCCCGUAAAGACAUAGUUUAAUUCAAUCACUUUCAAUGUUACCCUAAACGCUAAACAGUCCAUCACCUACCGUUUAGCUCUUUAUUGGAUCUAAACAGCUAAUUAAACAGGUUAAACGGUCAUGAAAAGCACUAUGUAGCGUGUAAACCGCGUGCAAACAGCUAAAUGGCCACGUACGCGAACAUUGAUCACUUUAAUCUAUUGAGACACUAUUUAGGCUGUUAAGGUACUCAUAAGAACUAGACUAAGUAAAUAUGCAACAAUUGGUCUAAGGUUGGGUUGGCUAGUAGGUGGGGUAUUAUGCAGUGUGGUUUGGGGUCUCGAGUUUGAAGACCCAUCACUGUCAAUAGUAGUUAGCGCACCAUUUGUAUGAACCACAAGUGCAUGGAUCAAUUGUAGCUUUUACCCUAGAGUACUCCCCCUACGAUUUUAUCAAUCCGUGGAACAAGUGGGAUGCAGCGCUUAAGUAAGCACUAAUUAAGAUAACCGAAAAGCUCUAUAUAUAUGAGAAAAAUUAAGUAUACGAAAAGAGCUAACCAAUCUAGGUUAAAACGAGCGGAGAUAUAGAUAUAAUCGAGGUAUGUGGAACGCUUGUCCAAGGGAUCUAGGAUCACCGGCAAUGCAAUAGCCAUAUCAUAUAGGGUAGAUGGGUACCAUGCUCAACGCUUUCUGUUAGUUGGAAAUCUGGCCGAUAAAUAAAUAUAUGUAAUUUUGUCGUGCGUUAUAUCAUAUAUGGCCUAGCACUCAAUGACACAGGAUCUAUACUGGUUCGAGCAAUAUGCCCUACGUCCAGUUAGGGGCCCUAAGCUCAGGUGCUCAAAGUUUGCAGUAGGGGUACAACGAGAGGAGGAAGAAGAGGGGUGUCCGAGCCCUAGUGUAAGUGAAGCCUGGAUGCGAGCUAAGUGUUGGGAGUGUAGUGCCUUACAAGCGUGGACUAUGCAUGUGUAUGUGUGUGUGUUCUGUCGAAGAGAGCUGGAUCGAUCUCUCCCGAGGCAUACGUGCCCUUUCAAGGGGGCAUCCCUUACAAGUCGGAAGAAGAUCAAAGAGUUGGUAUAUGGAUGAUGCCUAGUUUUGUCGAAUCCCAUGUCCGGCAGAUAUGGUAUGGCCUCCAUCCUUGGUCCCUAUUCUCCUCGUCAGGUCAUCACGUUGUAGCAUCAGGCCAUCACGUUGUAGCAUCAGGCCAUCACGUUGUAGUGGGUAGGUUUACGGCACCACUACGCGAUCGUGCGCGGGGUGUGGUGUGGUAUGGUUCCGCGUACGGCCACUUGACUUGGGUGUUGCAUCAUUAUCCAUCCCACAUGCUCCCAGGGCCCACACGGGGUGGCUGUCCCUGGUUGGGGGUCAACGCUGGUGGCAUAGUGGAGACCUAGUCGGGGAGCCAGGUUGGGAGCGCGGGCCAGUGGCAUCCAGCCAAGGGGAGUUGGUCGGGGUCGGACUAUGGUCCCACCUUUGGUAGGCCCUGUCUAGUUGGUUACUGAGCGAUCCUCCAGGUCGGGGGACCUAGUCGGCGACUGGGCUGUGGCCAUGGCCAUAACGUGUGCAGCUGGAUCAACCUAGUUGCUCAUUCUUGCGAUGCCCUCUGUUGGGCUAAGUGCUACGAGAAGCGGUCCCGUUGGGGAUCCUGGGUCUGUGGACCUUUCAAGAGCCCCUGAGCCCCUUUGGGGCUUCGUCCAAGCCGUGAAGGAGCUAAUCGUUGAAAGGCUAUACUAAAGGGAGAUGCAUCGAGGGACGUAGUCCGCUUUUGUCCUUUGUGAGGAGCGGCCGGUUCCCGUAGAGAGGGUCGGCUCCUUAUCUGAGGUGAUAAGGAUGUAGCCCGCAUGAAGCCGAACCAGUGCCUCGUGGCCCAGUACUCUCCCCUCAGUUUUCAAUAUGGGGUACGCGAAUCGUCAUAUCAAGAUGCGGCGCCUUUAUUGUGGGUCGCUGAAAGGUCGCCUUAGUGUCAGGCGCUUUUAGCGCACGUCCAUGGGUGCAGAUGGGAACCGCUCCCGGAUCGUGGCCGUUCGCCAAGCUAUAAAUAGGGGAGCUUCCACAUCUGGAGUCCCCAUGACUCGAGUUUUUGGUGCUAUGGCUUGGGCCGUGGAUCCGGUAGGUUUGAGGCUAUUGCUCUUUGCCCUAGGCAGCUUCGUCCGCAUCCCAGAAGAAUUCUUGUGAUAGAUGGCCCUUCCCCUUACCACAACCAUUCGCGUCACGUUCGUAAGCUAAACUGCAAGAAGAACUCUCGUGAUGCGGCCCCGUCGUGACGCUCGUGGCUGCAGUAGUAAGAAGACGAAGCUGGUGGUAUCACCUGUGACCCGCUCAUGGAUCUUCCGGCGUCAUGUGGUCAACACCAUCGGGGUAGCAAGCCCUCGCUAGGGGCUCCAGUUUCUCCGCUAGACCCGUAAGACCACCUUUGGUUUGGUCCACGGAGAGGCUCUGAAAGAAUCCUACACAGCACAGCUUCUCCUUUCCAAUCCGUGGGGACGAGCAACUCGCAUGGUAAGGGCCGAUAGGCACGGAGUGUGGAGUGUAGCUGUUGACGUCGCCGGCACGGACUUGAUCACGGACCUUGGAGAUGAGGACACUUCUGCUCCACCUGCGUCUCCGUGCCAUUUCAGCUUCUUCGGUCAUGGCUUGUUUCCCUGCCUCCAAGUCGGUGU